rnacentral:rRNA from 1 species
GAUGAACGCUGGCGGCGUGCUUAACACAUGCAAGUCGAACGAUGAAGCUCAGCUUGCUGGGUGGAUUAGUGGCGAACGGGUGAGUAACACGUGAGUAACCUGCCCUUAACUCUGGGAUAAGCCUGGGAAACUAGGUCUAAUACCGGAUAGGAGCGCCUACCGCAUGGUGGGUGUUGGAAAGAUUUAUCGGUUUUGGAUGGACUCGCGGCCUAUCAGCUUGUUGGUGGGGUAAUGGCUCACCAAGGCGACGACGGGUAGCCGGCCUGAGAGGGUGACCGGCCACACUGGGACUGAGACACGGCCCAGACUCCUACGGGAGGCAGCAGUGGGGAAUAUUGCACAAUGGGCGAAAGCCUGAUGCAGCGACGCCGCGUGAGGGAUGACGGCCUUCGGGUUGUAAACCUCUUUCAGUAGGGAAGAAGCGAAAGUGACGGUACCUGCAGAAGAAGCACCGGCUAACUACGUG